AUGUACUCUCAUCCUUCCCCGGGGAUGCCGCAGCNNNNNNNNNNNNNNNNNNNNNNNNNNNNNNNNNNNNNNNNNNNNNNNNNNNNNNNNNNNNNNNNNNNNNNNNNNNNNNNNNNNNNNNNNNNNNNNNNNNUGAUGUGUGCUCUGCCGCCACCAGAGGGUGAUGUGCUCUCAUCCUUCCCCGGGGAUGCCGCAGCUGACAGUGAGCGCAGUGGGCCUCAGGCAUCCCAUCGUGGACUCACAACUCAGGAUGCUGCAACUGGCCGCCAACAGGGCUCUGGUGGUCACCUAACCUAUGUGCAUUCCCUCUACAGAUUAGGAGGCUCUGGGAAGUCCUGGCCUUUGGACUCGCACCCCUUGACCAUCCAAAGGUGGGAGUUCUCAUGCCCUCCAAGGAUGCUGGGGCUCAGUGACCUCUGGUGGCGUCUCAAGCAGAACUCGAAACAAUGCCAGCAGAAGCAGUUGCCCCAUCUUCUCAGGACAGAGUGUUACAGAGGACACUUUCCCAGAGGGCUGUGCUGUGAGGCAUCCAGAGCUGUGGCUUCAGCAUAUGGCUAUGAGGAAUGCCUCAAGGUGACUGAGACCAUCUGUCCUGGCUGAGCUGUGACCUGGAUACGGAAAGGUUUGGGCAUAUUCAACCAGCAUGAGAGUAACUGCUUUCCAGCCCUUCUGCAUUCAGAGCUUCCAGAAUAUCAUAACAUGAGCUCACUCUGGUUUAGUUCAACUAACAUUGGUAAAUUUAUUGUGUACCACAUACCAGGAUGAUUUGAAGGAGACAAGAAAAGCAUACUUUCAAAAAACUUGCAUUUCAAGUGGGUGGACAGGAACAAAAAGGAAUCAUUUUGAAUUCAGGUUGAUUGCAGUGGCAGGAUGAACACUGCCAGAGAAGCUUGGAUCUGGGGCUCUUAGCUCAGCGAGAUGAGAGCAAGGAUUCCUAGAGGAUGUGAUAACCAAAAUGAAUCUUAAAAUGUGUGUAAGGAGGUGCCCCAGGAAGAGGAAGAAGCCAUUCUAUAAUAGAGAUGCAAAGCAUGUAUACAAAGAUGCAAAGCAUGCAGUGUAUUUGAGUCCUACAGAUGAUUCUGCAUGUGAGAGCACAGCAAAGAAAAAGAAAAAAGAGACGUCUACGUAGAAACUGGCAGUGAAGCUGCAAUGGCAGGAAGAGGUUGGAUCACAGAGCCUUGUGUACUUUCUAAGACGCUUGACCUUAUGCCAGGAAGACUGCAGAAAGCCAGAAAAGUUUUAAGCAGGGAGUGACAAAGUCAGACUUGGAUCUUGCCAGGUAUCUUGGUUUUAACUGAACUAUUUAUUUUAGUUUUUGGAUUAGGAAAUAUUUGCAUAUCUGGACUUUUGUAACUGAGGGUCAUUAUCAAGGUGUAAUAUGGCUUGUGUAAGAGUGUUUGGGCUCUCCCUCUUGGAUGAACUAUGUUGGCUAAUUUCUUUUUUUGGCCUGGAUCCAGGGGCUCUGGUGCCCACCAGUUGCUGGCACACAGCCCAGUGCCCAGCACCGUAGCCUCCCAGCACUGCCUGCUGUCAGGCUGCCUUCCACUAUAAGCCAGAGUGGACUAGCUGCUUUUUAUCCCUUAAAUUCCUACAGUGAGAGUCUUUGGGUAGACUUUUUUCUUUCUUAUACUCUGAGGAGCAUUUGGCAGCUUUAUAUAUAUAAAACAAACUCAGGUCUCCUUAAGUCAAGAAUUUAAAACUUUUUUUUUUUUUUUUUUUUGGUUUCAAAUUUCCUUGAGAGAAAAACAUGUGUUGAUGUUUCUUGGAAUGAGAGAUACAUUUGCUGUGAUGAAGAGCUGCUUGCCAGCUCUUGAAGAUGUUUCCUUCUGAAGCACUGAAACUAGACAGAAGAGCCCUCAAACAGCUGGAGAAGAGGUUUCCUGUUGAAAAUGCCCAUGGCCUGCUCUGAGUGAGGAGAGUUUGGAUCACUGUGAAAAUCUACCUUUGUUCAAUGGACUUAUUUAAAUCUGAAGAAUCUCUAUGGGUGCUCUCCAAGUCCUCCUCAUGGGGAGAUCUUGGACAUGGCAUUCACUUUUCUUGAGGCAACAUCUCUCAAUAAAUGGAUCUUUCCCUCAAGAACCUGCUGCUUUAAAUCUGUUAACACUUGGUUCAGUAUUCUGUUUCAAUUUCUGUAUCAAAUGCUGGAAUGGAAAAGAAGUGCAAAUCUAUGGUCAGAUGGGUGUGAGAUAUUGGUGGCUUGGAAGCAAUAAAUUUUUUGGAAAGAUAUAUUUAAAGUUACAUAAUGUAAAAGUUGUUUGUAUAGAUAACAUACUCAAUACAUUUUCUAUAGCUGUACAAAUAUCAACAAAUAUCUUAGCAGCCUUAGAGGUCUGGAGAGGCACAACCCUGCUUACCUGUACCCAGAAUGAGUGGAAGUCAAAUGAGGGCUCAGAGGGACAAAUGUGAGAGAACACAGCUGUGCUCUGAGGUGGAGGUGCCUGGUGCUGACUCUGCCCACAUGUGCCACCCCGCCACAGGGGAGGGAAGCUCAGAGGUGCUGCGCAUCUUGAGAACAGGAAAUGGAAGAGGAAGUGGGACCAGAAAAGAGUGUGUGGUCCAUGAACCUUUAUGCAUAUAUCGUGGCGCAGUGAGCUUCAGGGAUUCUCAGUAAUCCAGUUAGUUCUCCUUUUCUGCUGCUACACAAAAGAAAGUGCACAGAGAGACUAGAAUUCCCCAGCUCCGCGGAACUUGGAGAGGAAAGAAGGCAUUUUGCCCAACAUCAAGUAUUUCUCUUGAAACUAGCUAGAAUUUCUGACGACAAAGUAGAAGGUGAAUUAUUAGGGGACAACACUGGAAGCAGGAGAGAAUAAAGAAGGAAUAUUAGACUAGCUCAGGACAGAGAGGAAACGUCUUCACUAAGGCAGUGACCCAGAGACAGAUUUCUGAAUUUAGAAUGAAUAGAGGGUAACCAAGGAGAUACACCAGUAUGUGGAAGGCUCUGGUGGGAUUUUCACUGAAUUGCAAACAGCCUCCCUAGUGCCCUGCAUAGGGCGUUACACCUGAGGGGUUUUCAAGGCUCCAUGACUACAGAAGAAACUUCCAGGAUGCAGUAAUGGNNNNNNGUCGUUCUGGUGUCUGGUCUGCCCCACAUCCCUUUUCCCACUUCUGUUAAUAACACAGUCUUCUUUCCUUUGGAGAAAUAGUGUUAUCCCAUGAUCCAGUCCAUCACCAAAUCUCAACUUUCUAGUCAAAAAUGGACUUGCCAUCUCUCUGGCUGCAAGGAUGACAUGGGCACAUGACUCAAGAUGGUUUAGUCAAGCCUUUCCCCAGGAUCAUUCCUGUGAGGAAGGCCCUUCAUCUCUCUGGGGCCACGUGAGCUGAAAAAUUGUAACUCUUGAAUUGCUUUUGGAUAUAUUCCUGCCUUGUAGAGAAGUCUGUCCUCAAUGGGAAAAAUAUAGACAUAAAAAGUCAAAUGAUGUGAGUGAUAGAUGGAGAGAGAAUCUGAAUACAUCACAAUGCAGAUUUACCCACAGUUCCUACAGCUCUUCUUCCAUCCCAUGAUCUAUCCCAGGGUCUUUCUGAUAAACAGCCUCCCUCUCUUCCUUUUUUUACCUUAAGCUAGUCUGAGAUGGCGUUCUGUUAUUUUCCACCAGAAGAUUUUUUACUAAUACUUCUGCAAACGGAAAGUGACUUCAACUAGAACUUCAGUGGCUGUCUCCCUGGCAUGAUGGAAGAAGAAAAUCCAGUUGCCUGGACCAUAGAGGUUAUGGGAGAAAAGAGGUGGCAGUAAUGUCCAUUAUAAAUGGAUUCAUUCAGUUGAACAAAGGGCUUUUAUAAGAACAGUGCUAAAUAGAAGUUGGCAUCUCUCUCUCUCUUUCUGGUUUUGCUCUACUAGAGACUGAACAUCUCAUGAAAAACCAAAACAAGCCAAGAAAACAUUGGUGCUAGGCUGCUUCACAAGAUAUGUAAACAAAAUACAAGAAAACAUGUCUUGAGAGCAAGGAUUGUUUUUUAUAAACAGUGUUUUCAUGUAAGAGCCUAUGGAAUUUUUUCCACUUGCUUUUUAGAGACAGCAAAUAGUGAGAGCGAGAGCAAGUGAACAAGCAAAGAAGAGAGAGAGAGAAAUAUUGAUACAAAUUUUUUUCAGCCAAAAGCCAGGGAAUAGACUAUUUAGAUCGUUUGCUGGCACAGUUCAAUGAUAUAAUUUUUGCUUGCUAAUGGUAAACUGACUUCACUAUAACUCUGUAGCCACAGAAGUCUGCCCUGAAAAUAUAACAUGGCAAGAUCUAAACUUGCAAAACAUAUACAAGGACUUAUCACUUCUACAUAAAGAACUCCUAAUGCACUUAGUUUGAUUUGGUAAAAGUGAAUUCAUACACAGUGUUUUAAGAAUACAUCUCUUAGACAACAUGAGGUACAGUUCAGCUGCUCAGUCAUGUCCGACUGUUUGCGACCCCAUGGACUGCAGCACACCAG
ensembl:lncRNA